rnacentral:sRNA from 1 species
ACUGUUAGCAGCAUAGGAUUGAGAAGUUGGAAGAGACCUUUAGAACAGCUAGUCAUUAUGCCGACCGGGUGUUUGCACUAAGUUUGGUAUCAAUAUGGUGACCUCCUAGGAGCAAGGGGCCACCAGGUUGCCUAAGGAUGGGUGAACUGGCCCAGAUCAGGAAGGGAGCAGGUCAGAACACCCACACUGACUGGUAGUGGGACUGUGCCUGGGAAAUAUAGCAAGAUUUUGGUUUUU